UACGUAGGGUGCGAGCGUUUGUCCGGAAUUAUUGGGCGUAAAGAGCUCGUAGGCGGUCUGUCGCGUCGGAUGUGAAAGCCCGGGGCUUAACUCCGGGUCUGCAUUCGAUACGGGCAGACUAGAGUGUGGUAGGGGAGAUCGGAAUUCCUGGUGUAGCGGUGAAAUGCGCAGAUAUCAGGAGGAACACCGGUGGCGAAGGCGGAUCUCUGGGCCAUUACUGACGCUGAGGAGCGAAAGCGUGGGGAGCAAACAGG
rnacentral:rRNA from 1 species